GCGGGUAGCUCAGUUGGUUAGAGUGUGGUGUUGCUAAUGUCAAGGUUGCAGGUUCAAUUCCCGUAAGGGGAAGCU